CUGGAUGCACAUACAGUGUGAACCAGCUUCUCAACACCCAUGCACAUCAUCUUCAGUUAUUAUUAUUAUUAUUAAAAGUUCAUUGGUUUGACCAAGUCAACCCUCAUCUCUGGGUCAAAAAAGUCUUCUCCGUUGCAUGCCCAACACCACACACCUACUCUUUCGUUUUCCUUUCCCUCCUGGUGGUUUUCCUAUUAGGAUUAGUUGGGUCAUUUGGGGUCUCCACAAGCUAGUAGUACUACUAGUACUACCUACAACAACAAGUAGGUGUACCGGGCUACCAGCGACCUAGCCAUAGGAUAAGAGCAGGUAUAAAAGCAGGCUAUAAGCCAACUAUAAACAUAUUUUAAAGAGAUAAAGGAAGAGAGAAGAGCAGUGGGCUACAUAUCUGUAGCCAGCUACAGCACAGACUCCAAGACGUAAUGUGUAUAUGACAUGCGGAACCUUAUAUUAAUAGUAUAGUAAUUAACUAGUGUAUGAAUUAGCUAUUACAUUGGCUAUAGAUGAUUUGAGCUAAUAGUAGGCUAUACUAUUAAACUUGCUCUAAAUUAUGUAUAGCCAAUAUAAUAGUCAAUUCAUAUAAUACUUGCUUACUAUACUAUUAAUACAUAGUCCCACCUGUUAUACACAUAUUACGUCUUGGAGUCUGUGUUGCAGCUGACUGUAGAUAUGUAGCCUGCUACUCUUCUCUCUCUUCUUUUAUUUCUUUAAAAUAUCUUUAUAGCUGACUUAUAUAGUAUGCCACUGUAUCUUCCUUUAUCUUUUUAAAAUAUCUUUAUAGCUUGUUUAUAGUCUGCUAUAGUAUCUGCUCUAACGUGCUUGACUCGUGUGCACGGCCGGACCGGGGGGCCAACUAGCCAAAGCCCAAAGUACUCGCAAACACGCCUCUGCUGUCUGCUCUCCUAGUGGUUCGUUUGGUCCUGGGUGACGCAGAGGCGUCGCCGUCUGAAUAUCUGUGAGAAGCCGAUAGCAGUAGAGCGCGUCGGUAGGAAAUACGAGUACGUGGACACGCAUGUGGCGCCAAACUUGCUGCCGUGCGGACUGGGGGCGAGAGGGGAACAAACGGACGCUGGUUUUUCAGGGCUGCAUACGGUGGGCGGGCUGCCUGGCGGCUGGAUCCGUGGGUCAACAGCUGAAAAGGCUGCACGUGCACACGUGUGUUCUCACGGUGCGCAAACGACGUGAGCAAUAAUAGUGUGACGGAAGUGUACCAGAAAAAGGGGAAAUUAUGUGCUGCAAAUCUCCUUAUGUAUUGAAGACUUAGAAAAACUACCAUUAGAUCGAAAAAUGGAUAGUUUAAGAUUCGUUUACAUUAUUAUGAGUAAAAAUUUUACUCCGAAUAAAUUUGAGUAAAUCUGCGAGUAAAAUUUUUCAUUCGUAAUGGCGUGAACAAAUCUUAGAAUGUAGAAAGAGUUUUGGGGUUGAUCAGUUGAUGGAUGUAAAUAAAAUUUGAUUUAUAUUAGGGACCUAAAGUAAACCUUUUUCCCGAUCUUUAAUUGUCCUGUCCUGCAUUGGGCCCAUAACGGCCCAUAUGUUUUCCCUGUUUUGCUUCGUUGUUGCGAGAACUGCGGUUUCUGAAUCUUGGCAUCAUGCCAAGAAAGGGUUCAUGAUCGUUGCAUUCCAUGUACUACUACUACUGCAUUUGUAUGGAGUAAUAACGAGAGUUUUGGCUUUGGUGGAUGCGUGGUGGAUCAGCGGGCAGCAGCAGCGACGGCGAGAGGCGGCGGCGGCGGGAGGAGCUGACGUGGGCGCGGCGGCACGAGGUGGUGGUGGGCGUGGCGCGCGGGCUGCUGUACCUGCACGAGGACGCGCACACGCCCAUCAUCCACCGCGACAUCAAGGCCAGCAACAUCCUCCUCGACGACCGCUGGGUCCCCAAGAUCGCCGACUUCGGCAUGGCCCGCCUCUUCCCGGAGGCCGGCGACGGCCGCUCCCACGUCCAGACCCGCGUCGCCGGCACCAACGGCUACAUGGCCCCCGAGUACCUCAUGCACGGCGCCCUCUCCGCCAAGGCCGACGUCUUCAGCUUCGGCGUCGUCGUCCUCGAGAUCGUCUCCGGCCACAAGAACUCCUCCUUCGUCCCUCCCCCCGACUCCGACGCCGACAACCUCCUCGAUCACGUACGUCCUCUCCAUCCAUCAUCUUAAUUUCUCCAUCGAUCAUCUUAAUUUCUCUCUUAAAGUUAAUCUGUUUUAAGUCUGAUCAAAUUUAUAGAAAAAAGUAGUAAUAUUUUUAACCUAAGACAAAUUUAUUAAGAAAAUAUAUUCAAUUAUUAAUUUGAUAAAAUUAAUUUAGUAUUAUAAAUAUUACUAUAUUUAUCGUUAAAUUUAAAACAGACGGAGGGAGUACUCAUCAACUUCUCUUCGAUCUCUCAUUCAUGGCGAUGGAUUUGCUUCGUGUGGGCAGGCGUGGAGGCUGUACAAGAAGGGGAGGAGCAUCGAGCUGCUCGACCCGGCGGUGAAGUCGGCGGCGGCGACGGAGCAGGUGGAGCUGCUGGUGCGGAUCGGGCUGCUGUGCGUGCAGGCCGACCCGCGGAUGAGGCCGGACAUGAAGCGGGUGGUGAUCAUCCUGUCCAAGAAGCAGAGCACGCUGGAGGAGCCGACGCGGCCGGGCGUCCCCGGGUCGCGGUACCGGCGGAGGUCGUACGGCACGCGCGGCGGCGGCGGCGGCUCCCACUUCUCCGUCGGGUCCACGUCCGGGACCAGCUCGCCGUCGACGUCCACCACCGCGUCGCACGCCACCACGUCGGCCGCGUCCAACGCCAUGACGACGACGACGUCGAGCACCCACACCAUGCGGAGCCAGGGGCUCCCCUUGCACCGGGAAGAGAGAGGAGUGGAAUUGAAGAAAGAUGAUGAAAGCGGCUGAACUGUACAUUUGUCCAUUGUUUUUUCUUUUUUGUUCGCUCUCUCUCUUGAUUUCUUUUUCUUCUGGUGAUUGUUCGAAGAUUUUAGAGUAGAUAGAUCAUAGAUGGCAAUAUUAUUUUUAUUUUUUUGCUACUUGAUAGUGCUGUAGUUCAUAGAAUCGAUUGGAUUAUUGUAGGAUGCUGAAGCGAAAACGAUGAUCGUUGUGUGCAUAGAGAAUUAAUGCGAGAUAGAAUGUUAAAGGAAAAAGAAAAGACAAUCGUUCUUGCAUUUACAUUUUUGUGAACUUCAGGAAAAUUUGAAAAAAAAAAUCUACAAUGAAUAAGUUCAGAAUUUACACCCCUUCUUUUGGAUCCAGGGUUCAACUUUGUAAAACAUAUAUUGUUGUUUUCAUGAGGUAGGCUGUUGAGAAGUACUCCGUAGAAUUUUGCAAUGGAGCAUUUUUAAUAUAUUCAUGGAACAUAAGGUUGUUCUUUUACCAACAUGUACUUUAUUUCCAGAUGAGUAGAUUUUUCUUAAAAGCUAAGUUUUCAGAGCUGAAACAGUGUAACUACUGUAUUUAUGCAACAAUUUUUCCCUUCUGGGACAAAAGUUUAACUUUUAGUUUCUUCCAACAUAUUUAUGCACUGUGCAGCAGUUACAUUAUGAAUGUACUGCACUGUUGCAACUUGUCAAGAAAACUAGUUGACACGAAAGAGCAACAUUUUCAAAUAGCUUGAUGAAACAAGUGGUUUUGGAGCUCUCUAGCUCCGAAUCCUCCGUUUGGAGCCAGAAAAAAUCACUGAAGAAAGGAAUGCACUUCGACCUGUUUAGAUGGGAUUAAAACUUUUAAGUGCCUAUCACAUCGGAUGUUUGGACACUAAUUAUAAAUAUUAAACAUAGACUAUUAAUAAAACCCAUCCAUAAUCUUGAACUAAUUCGCGAGACGAAUCUCUUAAGCCUAAUUAAUUCAUGAUUAGCCUAUAUGAUGCUACAGUAAACAUUAUCUAAUUAUGGAUUAAUUAAGCUUAAAAAAUUUAUCUCACGAAUUAGCUUUUAUUUAUGUAAUUAGUUUCGUAAGUAGUCUAUAUUUAAUACACUAAAUUAAUGACUAAAUAUACAGACUAGAGUUAAAUCACUGAAUCCAAACAUCACCUUAGCUAUUAUUCUCAUUGCCAACUCUUGGAAUUGGGUGCACAGAAUGAUCUGUAGCAUGAGUUGGGAACGGAUCCGUAAAGUCUCGUUCACCGACGGGAAUUGCACAGAGUAACUGCAGUCUGCAGAGGACAUGCGUCCGUAGUUCACUGUUGGACUUAAGGUCUGUUCUUUUCUCCAAUAAAAAUUGAAUGAAGAUUAAGAUUUUCGUGGCAUGUUUUUAAACCGCUAAACGGUGCGUUUCAUACGAAAACUUUCUAUAUAAAAAUUACUCUAAAAUAUCAUAUUAAUCGAUUUUUUAAGUUUAUAAUAAUUAAAAUUCAAUCAAUCAUACAUUAAUACGUUUUACGUAAAAAAAACCUUAAUCUUCAUCUUCAUCUUUAGAAGAAAAGAACGCCAAUCAUCAUCACUUCGAUUCAUGUUCGACGGAGAUUGUCCGCGGUUACCGCUGUUCAGUAGCUGUAGCUGAAAGGUGGGCCUCACACCCCUAGCCCCACAUAUUAUUUCAUUUCAGUUACUCCCUCCGUCUCAAAAUAUAAUCAUUUUUAGAAUUCGACAUAGUUUUUGGGAUACUAUUUUGACCAACAAUAUCUAUAAAGUUGAAAUGCUUUAAAUAAAAAGAGUUGCAUAUUUAAGGGUGGAUGUCGAGCUGGCUCAGCUCGGGUUCGGUCUAGCUCGUUAGGAUAACGAGCUAGCCCGGCUCGGUUCGUUAACCUAACGAGCUAAAAACCCCAGCUCAGCUCGGCUGUAAGCUCGAGCCAGCUCAACUCAGCUCGGCUGUAAGCUCGACUCAGCUCGGCUGUAAGCUCGAGCCAGCUCAACUCAGCUCGGCUGUAAGCUCGACUCAGCUCGUUUAGCUCGCAAGCUGGCACAUGCUGACGAAGGUCGCUUUCCUCCUCCAUGGCGAGCGCAACGGUGAAACGGUUUGGAUGACCAACAGCUGCAUGGUGCACACACACCACCAGAAGUAGCAAAAUAAAUCGGGUGAGAUUUAUUGAGAAGUGCUGGAAGUCUGAAACUACAAAGGCACACCUGAGCAGAAGAACGACGGCAACGGCGAUUGCUAACAUGUGGGCUGUGGUGAAGUCAUCGUCCUCAGUGAGCAACGAGAUCGACGAACAAUCGAGGCUGUAACACCGUGCUGCGGUGCUCGGACCUGGGAGCACAAGAUGGUGCAACGACGGAGUGAAGGCUAGGAAGGAGGGAGGGCGGAAGCGCGAGGAUGCGGCUGCCGACGAAGGAGGCGAGGUGCCGAGGCUGCGGUAGCGGUGCGAUUCACAAUGGCGAUGACGGAGGCGCAAUGGGAUUGGGGAUCGAUGGAUUGAUUCAAGAGUAAAUUUAACAGAACUACAUGUUUUAUGAUUCAAGUUGCAGAAAACCAUAAAUAUUUUGAUACUUGGUACUUAAGUACAUAUAUUUUGGUAGUUUAGUUUCACAAAACCACACUAUCGAUGAAUGGAUUUACUCGUGAGAUGACGUGGUCGUUUCAUCUAGGAUGAAGACGUGGCAUCCUAUUAAUUUCGUGCGAUGGCUGGUAAUAGGAUGACAUGUCCUCAUCCUAGAUGAAACAAUCACGUCAUCUCGCGGGUGAAUCCAUUCAUUGAUAGUGUGGUUCUGUGAAACUACACUACCAAAAUAUAUAUACUUAAGUGCCAAGUGUCAAAGUGUGUGUGGUUUUCUGUAACUUGGACUACAAAACGUGUAGUUUUGUGAAAUUUACUCUUGAUUCAAUCCAGGGACACUAGGGUUGGAAUAUUAUGGGCUUUGGACUUUGGAGCGUUUUGAGCCUUAGAGAAAAAACGUGGACUUCAUUGUGGCCUAGUUAAGCCUGCCAAUGGGUUGGAUUGGAAUGGGUCUAAUGGAUUAGUUUUCAAUUUGGAUUCACUUGGUAUGGGUGUAAAGGAAAAAGUCCACAUUGACUCCCUUAAAAGUACGCCGAAUCUAAUUCAUACCCCUUAACUAGAAAACCGGGUAGGAUGACUCCUCCAACUAUUAAAACCGGUAAAUUUGACUUCCUCAGCGGUUUUAGAGAUGGUUUUGCUGACAUGGCGCUUUGACUCGGUCCAACUGGUUGACUCAGCACGUGGGACCCACAUGUCAAUGUCACAUUUUCUUUCUCACUUUCUUUUCUCUUUUUUUCCCUCUUUUUCUCCCAGACCGAAAAUUUCCCCUAUGCCUCCGAACGGCACCACAAACCGCCGCCGUUCAUGGAUACCUUCAAGGACGCCAUCGAUGCUCUUCUCCCCGCCGCGGGAACCCGGCCGAUGACGGAUGCAGGUUACAUAUGUAAUUAUAGUACAAAUAUAGUGUAAUUAUGAAAAUUACAUAUGUAAUUAUAGUAUAAAUAUAGUGUAAUUACGAAAAUUACAUUGUAAUUAUGUUACAGUUACAUUUGACAGAUUUUUAGGCUAAUUUUCAGUCGAAUGUUGUAUAGAUAGUCCCUUAAGAAAAUGCAACGAGUCGAGUCGAGCCGAACGAGCUAAUGAGCCACGAGCUUUUCGUCCACCCCUACGUAUAUUACGAUAGUUUUUGUUUAAUGACAAAUCUAGUAACAUCCAUUUUAUAUGUUUGAACUUUUUUAUUUGUUGGCUAUUAAUAGUUAAAGUUGUAAAUGUUUGACUUACCACUACUGUAAUCUUUUUUAACGUGAACGUGUGUAGGAUUGUUGCACGUUCAGAGAAGCAUUACGCUUAAUUUACAAGCGAAGCAUUGCCAAUUAAAAAUCCACGCUAGCUAGCUUGUGCGUGCAACAACAUCUUUACCGAUGGACACACGUUACAUAUAUUUCCCUCAGUCACCAAACAGUUGUAUGGUCAACGACACCAUCAGCCGUAAAUCGAUCGGCAACUGAAAUGAUACACGCGACACCAAUAUCAUCGUCUCCACACACCACCACCACGCAUGCAUGCAUGCAGGAGUGCACGCAUGGCGACCUCGACUACUCCCUCCGUUUUUAAAUAUUUAACGCCGUUAAUUUAUUUAAAUAUAUUUAAUCGUUUAUUUUAUUUAAUUUUUUUAAAUAUGUAAAACUAUAUAUAUAAUAAAAACAUAUUUAAUAAUAAGAAAAAAAUAUUUUUUUAUUUUUUUAAUAAGAUAAACUGUCAAAUAUAUUAAAAAAAUUAACGGUGUUAAAUAUAUAGGUACGGAGGGAGUACGUAGACACGAGCUAGCAAGACAACAAGGCAAGCAAUCAAGCGGCACCGGCGCCGCCGUCGACCAUCGCCGGCCGGCCGCCGACGCGAUGAUGAUCAAACCUUGGCGAAGCAGAGCUUGACGACGGCGCACUUGAGGAAGCAGGCGACGAAGGUGGGCGGGCUGACGAUGUCGGCGACGCAGGUGCCCGCGCACUUGACCAGGCACUUCUGGCAGUUGCUGGGGCAGAUGGUGGCGGCGCCGUCGCCGCCGUCGAGGAGGUCGGCGAGGUCCUGAUCGUCGGCGAGGCGCGUCUCCAGCUGCUGCAGCGUCGUCGGCGUCGCGUCGUCGUCGUCCUCGACGACGUGAUCAUCCACGCGCGUGGAGGUGGCGGCGGCGGCCGUCGUCGUGAGCUGCCCGGCGGCGACGGAGAGGGCGACCAUCAGGCAGAGGACGGCGGCGGCCAUCUUAACCGCGGCGGAAGUGGAAGCCGCCAUUGAUGGAUUGUAACUUGGGACGCGAGAAUGCAGCAGGGGUGAGGUGAAGUUGUAGCUUGUAAGCGUGGGGACCGAUUGGCUUGGCUAGUUGGCUUACGAGGAAGUAGGGUUCGCUAUAUUUAUAGAGUGCACACAUGACACUGCAUAGACAUUGAGGGCCGAAAUAUUAAGAGCAGGUACAAUAGCAGGCUAUAAGCC
rnacentral:lncRNA from 1 species